rnacentral:rRNA from 1 species
GAUGAACGCUGGCGGCGUGCCUAAUACAUGCAAGUCGAGCGAACGGACGAGAAGCUUUCUUCUCUGAUUUUAGCGGCGGACGGGGGAGUAACACGUGGAUAACCUACCUAUAAGACUGGGAUAACUUCGGGAAACCGGAGCUAAUACCGGAUAAUAUUUUGAACCGCAUGGUUCAAAAGUGAAAGACGGUCUUGCUGUCACUUAUAGAUGGAUCCGCGCUGCAUUAGCUAGUUGGUAAGGUAACGGCUUACCAAGGCAACGAUGCAUAGCGGACCUGAGAGGGUGAUCGGCCACACUGGAACUGAGACACGGUCCAGACUCCUACGGGAGGCAGCAGUAGGGAAUCUUCCGCAAUGGGCGCAAGCCUGACGGAGCAACGCCGCGUGAGUGAUGAAGGUCUUCGGAUCGUAAAACUCUGUUAUUAGGGAAGAACAUAUGUGUAAGUAACUGUGCACAUCUUGACGGUACCUAAUCAGAAAGCCACGGCUAACUACGUG